GACGAACGCUGGCGGUGUGCUUAACACAUGCAAGUCGAACGGAAAGGCCCUGCUUUUGUGGGGUGCUCGAGUGGCGAACGGGUGAGUAACACGUGAGUAACCUGCCCUUGACUUUGGGAUAACUUCAGGAAACUGGGGCUAAUACCGGAUAGGAGCUCCUGCUGCAUGGUGGGGGUUGGAAAGUUUCGGCGGUUGGGGAUGGACUCGCGGCUUAUCAGCUUGUUGGUUGGGUAGUGGCUUACCAAGGCUUUGACGGGUAGCCGGCCUGAGAGGGUGACCGGACACACUGGGACUGAGAUACGGCCCAGACUCCUACGGGAGGCAGCAGUGGGGAAUAUUGCACAAUGGGCGGAAGGCUGAUGCAGUAACGCCGUGUGCGGGAUGACGGCCUUCGGGUUGUAAACCGCUUUCGCCUGUGACGAAGCGUGAGUGACGGUAAUGGGUAAAGAAGCACCGGCUAACUACGUG
rnacentral:rRNA from 1 species